rnacentral:rRNA from 1 species
AGUCAUUGUAGCAAUACAAGGCAGACGGCUCAUUAACGCGUAGUCAACCUACCCUAUGGACGGGAAUAACCUCGGGAAACUGAGUAUAAUGCCCGAUAGAACACUAUACCUGGAAUGGUUUGUGUUCCAAAUGAUUUAUCGCCGUAGGAUGGGACUGCGGCCUAUCAGUUUGUUGGUGAGGUAAUGGCCCACCAAGACUAUUACAGGUACGGGCUCUGAGAGGAGUAGCCCGGAGAUGGGUACUGAGACACGGACCCAGGCCCUAUGGGGCGCAGCAGGCGAGAAAACUUUGCAAUGUGCGAAAGCACGACAAGGUUAAUCCGAGUGGUUUCUGCUAAAGGAACCUUUUGUUAGUCAUAGAACCACUAAUGAAUAAGGGGUGGGCAAGUUCUGGUGUCAGCCGCCGCGGUAAAACCAGCACCUCAAGUGGUCAGGAUGAUUAUUGGGCCUAAAGCAUCCGUAGCCUGCUUUGCCAGUUUUCGGUUAAAUCCAUACGCUCAACGUAUGGGCCGCCGGGAAUACUACAAAGCUAGGGAGUGGGAGAGGUAGACGGUACUCGGUAGGAAGGGGUAAAAUCCUUUGAUCUAUUGAUGACCACCUGUGGCGAAGGCGGUCUACCAGAACACGUCCGACGGUGAGG